CCUAGGAAUCUGCCUAGUAGUGGGGGACAACGUAUUCGAAAGGAACGCUUGUACCGCAUACGUCCUACGGGUAGAAAGUGGGGGAUCUUCAGACCUCACGCUAUUAGAUGAGCCUAGGUCGGAUUAGCUAGUUGGUACGGUAAAGGCCUACCAAGGCGACGAUCCGUAACUGGUCUGAGAGGAUGAUCAGUCACACUGGAACUGAGACACGGUCCAGACUCCUACGGGAGGCAGCAGUGGGACAAUAUUGGACAAUGAGCAGAAAGCCAGAUCCAGCCAUGCCGCGUGUGUGUAGAGAAGAGCCAAUCGCCGUCGUAAAUCACUUUUAAGUUGCGAGGAAGGGCUUACUGCUAAUACCUGUGAGUUUUGACGUUACCGACAGAUAUAAGCACCGGCUAUACUCUCGUCGCACAGCACCCGCGGUAAUACGAAGGGUGCAAGCGUUAAUCGGAAUUACUGGGCGUAAAGCGCGCGUAUGUGGCUUGAUAAGUUGGAUGUGAAAUCC
rnacentral:rRNA from 1 species